GACGAACGCUGGCGGCGUGCUUAACACAUGCAAGUCGAACGGAAAGGCCCUGCUUUUGGGGGGUGCUCGAGUGGCGAACGGGUGAGUAACACGUGAGUAACCUGCCCUUGACUUUGGGAUAACUUCAGGAAACUGGGGCUAAUACCGGAUAGGAGCUCCUGCUGCAUGGUGGGGGUUGGAAAGUUUCGGCGGUUGGGGAUGGACUCGCGGCUUAUGAGCUUGUUGGGUGGGUAGUGGCUUACCAAGGCCUUGACGGGUGGCCGGCCUGAGCGGGUAGCCGGCCACAUUGCGACUGAGAUGCGGCCCAGACCCCUCCGGGAGGCAGCGGUGGGGAAUAUUGCACAAUGGGCGGAAGCCUGAUGCAGCAACGCCGCGUGCGGGAUGACGGCCUUCGGGUUGUAAUCCGCUUUCGCCUGUGACGAAGCGUGAGUGACGGUAAUGGGUAAAGAAGCACCGGCUAACUACGUG
rnacentral:rRNA from 1 species